UCUUCGAAGUGUUGCAGUGUUAUUGUACUUAUACGAUGGGUUUUCGGCAGCGUGCGAAUUAUUUCUUGUUCUCUGGGGAUUAGGGUAUAAUUUUAUAAAGGUUGCGUUACCGUUUGUGUUUUGAAUGACGGUUGGUCCACGGAACAACUCCUUUUUUUCGUAUUUUUUCUUACCCCCGAGCCGUGAGUCCCUAAUAGCCGAAGUGUUGCCUACUGGUUAUCUGAACGAUGGUUUACGAAAACCUACCCUUUACGUUUUGCAGAACUGUGACUCCCUCAUAGCCGGCUUGUUGUCGUGGACCCUCGGUGUUAUAUGUUUUUGGGAAGUGAACAAUACUACUGUUUUCAUCUAAUCAUUUACUUUAAAGUCUGUAUCUAUUACCGGUUUAAUAUUAAUUGUAUGAAGGAUGGUCUACGAAACUAAAAAAUUUCCACAAAUGUGGCGCUCUCGCUAGAGUUGUUGCUUAUGGACUCUGUUAGAUAUUGAGUAGACCCAUAAAAAUGCUGUCUGGAACAAACUGUGGACUUGGGACACUUAAUCCACUAGUAAAUCUGUGCUAAACGUAAUCUCAAAUCGCUGGAGAAAUCCGCUGGUGUUGAUUUUUGUGCUGUCUUCACUUCAUGGAGCAAACUACUCUUCUGAGAAUUGAAGUCUUUAAUCUUUAAACAAAUAACUUGUCAUGGAUGUUGACUGGAGGAGAUCGAAGAAUAUGGGAACUUUGAUUUUUAAAGAACUGUGGAAACAGUUUCAAGAAAUGUCAGUUGCAUUUAAUUCACAAUUUUUAAAUGGCGAGACUGGAGCCUGGCGUUGAAGAUAUACUUGAUGCUUUGUAUUUGUCCUAUAUUCAUAAUUUAAGUGGUUUUUGUAUUUUUCGCUUCAAUAAAUGGUAUUAAACGAUGUAAAUGUACAAAUAAACGUUCCCUCUUUCAAUAACAUAAAUUAAAGGGUGGGU